UCCCUUCUCUCUACUUUCUCUCUCUAAAAUUCUUCGAUCUUUUGCAUGUUUUCAUGGUAUCAGAGCCUGUAUAAUGAUCCGAUGAUACUUUUGUGUGAAUCAGUAGUUCAUUUGAACCAUUCUCUGAUGAGAUUUUUGGGGUUUUCUGAGAUCGAAAGGUCGGUGAUGGUUUUGACUCCCAUUAGGGUUCUUUCGAGCCUUUAUCUUCACGAUCUGUGACUGUUCUUCGUCUCUUUAACGGUUCAAUCGAUUGUUGUGAAAUUUUCGGAGAUUUUUCAGUGAGUUUUCAACCUCUAGGGUUUCUGGUGGUCAAAUCGGUCGUUUGACUGCCAUCCGGUGGUUUGAUACUCAUUUUUGCUGAUGUUUUGGGUGUUAUCGGUACUGCUCCGACAUCGUUGACGGUAUCUCCGGCAAAACUUUGACGGUUACUCUAGGGUUCAUACCUAGGGUUUAAUCUGUUGUUAAAGGCCGAUCUUCUCCGGUUGCGAAGGACGGUAACAUUAUUCCUAUCUUUUGGUUGUGAUUCUUUGGUUGUGUGUGAUUGUUUGAUUCUAUUUGUGAGUACUGAUUGUUUGAGCUGUGAAUACUGAUUUUUGGUGAUAUUUGUGAACGAUUUAAUUCAUUUGAGCAUGGCUUCUAACACGAAUGGUGGUGGUUCUAGUAGUAACUCUGGUUCUAUAGACCCUUCCAACCCUUUGUUUGUAAAUUC
rnacentral:lncRNA from 1 species